rnacentral:rRNA from 1 species
CCCUUAGAUGUUCUGGGCCGCACGCGCGCUACACUGACGAAUGCAACGAGCUUAUAACCUUGGCCGAAAGUUCUGGGUAAUCUCCAAAUUUCGUCGUGAUGGGGAUAGAUUAUUGCAAUUAUUAAUCUUCAACGAGGAAUGCCUAGUAAGCGCAAGUCAUCAGCUUGCGUUGAUUACGUCCCUGCCCUUUGUACACACCGCCCGUCGCUCCUACCGAUUGAAUGGUCCGGUGAAGCGUUCGGACCGUGGCCUUUGGACGGUUCGCCGUCUGUUGGCUGCGGGAAGUUCGUUAAACCUUAUCAUUUAGAGGAAGGAGAAGUCGUAACA